UUAAAAUGUCGCACAUGCACCGUCACAUCGAAUCUGGGUGCCCGAACUGAAAAAGUGCGGGUUGAUUCAUGGGGUGCGUGGAGGCUCAAC
rnacentral:sRNA from 1 species